rnacentral:rRNA from 1 species
UACGAAGGGGGCGAGCGUUGUUCGGAUUUACUGGGCGUAAAGGGCGCGCAGGCGGCGAGUUUUGUCGAGUGUGAAAGCCCCGGGCUUAACCUGGGAACUGCGCUCGAAACGGGCUUGCUAGAGAUCGGGAGAGGAGAGUGGAAUUCCCAGUGUAGAGGUGAAAUUCGUAGAUAUUGGGAAGAACACCGGUGGCGAAGGCGGCCAUCUGGCCCGUAAUUGACGCUGAGGCGCGAAAGCGUGGGGAGCAAACAGG